rnacentral:rRNA from 1 species
AUUGAACGCUGGCGGAAUGCUUUACACAUGCAAGUCGAACGGCAGCACGGACUUCGGUCUGGUGGCGAGUGGCGAACGGGUGAGUAACAUAUCGGAACGUAUCCAAUAAUGGGGGAUAACGAGUCGAAAGAUUCGCUAAUACCGCAUACGCCCUACGGGGGAAAGCUGGGGACCUUCGGGCCUGGCGUUAAUGGAGCGGCCGAUAUCUGAUUAGCUAGUUGGUGAGGUAAAGGCUCACCAAGGCGACGAUCAGUAGCUGGACUGAGAGGACGAACAGCCACACUGGAACUGAGACACGGUCCAGACUCCUACGGGAGGCAGCAGUGGGGAAUUUUGGACAAUGGGCGCAAGCCUGAUUCAGCCAUUCCGCGUGAGUGAAGAAGGCCUUCGGGUUGUAAAGCUCUUUCGCAAGGGAAGAAAACUUAGCCACUAACAUUGGUUGAGGUUGACGGUACCUUGAUAAGAAGCACCGGCUAACUACGUGCCAGCCGCCGCGGUAA